rnacentral:rRNA from 1 species
AGUGAACGCUGGCGGCAGGCCUAACACAUGCAAGUCGAGCGGCAGCGCGGGGGCAACCCUGGCGGCGAGCGGCGGACGGGUGAGGAAUUCGUCGGAAUCUGCCUUUUUGUGGGGGAUAACGUAGGGAAACUUACGCUAAUACCGCAUACGUCCUACGGGAGAAAGUGGGGGACCGCAAGGCCUCACGCAGAAAGAUGAGCCGACGACCGAUUAUCUAGUUGGUGGGGUAAAGGCCCACCAAGGCGACGAUCGGUAGCUGGUCUGAGAGGAUGAUCAGCCACACUGGGACUGAGACACGGCCCAGACUCCUACGGGAGGCAGCAGUGGGGAAUAUUGGACAAUGGGCGCAAGCCUGAUCCAGCCAUGCCGCGUGUGUGAAGAAGGCCUUCGGGUUGUAAAGCACUUUUGUCCGGAAAGAAAUCCCUGGAGCUAAUACCUUCGGGGGAUGACGGUACCGGAAGAAUAAGCACCGGCUAACUUCGUG